CACGUAGUUAGCCGGGACUUCUUAGUCAGGUACCGUCAUUUUCUUCCCUGCUGAUAGAGCUUUACAUACCGAAAUACUUCUUCACUCACGCGGCGUCGCUGCAUCAGGGUUCCCCCCAUUGUGCAAUAUUCCCCACUGCUGCCUCCCGUAGGAGUUUGGGCCGUGUCUCAGUCCCAAUGUGGCCGGUCACCCUCUCAGGCCGGCUACUGAUCGUCGCCUUGGUGGGCCUCUACCCCGCCAACUAGCUAAUCAGACGCGGGUCCAUCGUAUACCGUUUACGCUUUUCACACUGCUCCAUGCGAAGCUGUGCGCUUAUGCGGUAUUAGCACCUAUUUCUAAGUGUUAUCCCCCUGUAUACGGCAGGUUACCCACGCGUUACUCACCCGUCCGCCACUAAACAAAAUCACUAGGUUUCAUUCUGUUCCCGUUCGACUUGCAUGUGUUAGGCACGCCGCCAGCGUUCAUCCUGAGCCAGGAUCAAACUCU
rnacentral:rRNA from 1 species